rnacentral:rRNA from 1 species
GAUCAUGGCUCAGGAUGAACGCUGGCGGCGUGCUUAACACAUGCAAGCCGAGCGAAGCAGUUAAGUUUGAUUUCUUCGGAUUGAUUCUUAACUGACUGAGCGGCGGACGGGUGAGUAACGCGUGGGUGGCCUGCCCCAUACCGGGGGAUAAACAGCUGGAAACGGCUGCUAAUACCGCAUAAGCGCACAGAGCUGCAUGGCUCGGUGUGAAAAACUCCGGUGGUAUGGGAUGGGCCCGG